CACUGGGACUGAGACACUGCCCAGACUCCUACGGGAGGCUGCAGUCGAGAAUAUUCCCCAAUGCACGAAAGUGUGAGGGAGCGACGCCGCGUGGUGGAUGAAGGCCUUCGGGUCGUAAACACCUUUUAUUAGGGACGAACAAAUGACGGUACCUAAUGAAUAAG
rnacentral:rRNA from 1 species